rnacentral:rRNA from 1 species
UACAGAGGGUGCAAGCGUUGUCCGGAAUCACUGGGCGUAAAGGGCGCGUAGGUGGCCUGAUAAGUAGGAGGUGAAAUCCUGGGGCUUAACCUCAGGGCUGCCUUCUAGACUGUCCGGCUCGAGCACAGUAGAGGCAGGUGGAAUUCCCGGUGUAGCGGUGGAAUGCGUAGAGAUCGGGAAGAACAUCGGUGGCGAAGGCGGCCUGCUGGGCUGUUGCUGACACUGAGGCGCGAAAGCGUGGGGAGCGAUCCGG